rnacentral:lncRNA from 1 species
GCUUCAUCAUAGUUUGCAGACUCAACAUUUCUGUGGUACAGGAUGGGACUAAUCUUGAAACGGGACACAUAGUCGUCCAAGUAUUGGAUAAACUGAUUCUUGGGCACGUAGGUGGGACAAGAAGGUGGAAAUGGCAUGUGGGGAAGCUCACAGAACUGCUUCUGAAGGUGGAGGUGGAGACGGUCAUAUGAAUACUUUUUCCACAUGGAAGCAAAACAGUCCUCUCUUUCCAAGACUAUGUAUGGGAUUGCAAGCCGGCUUAGACAUCCGGCCAUGGCGAGGCCGGACGGGCCAGCCC